UCCCUCAUCGCAUGGAGAGAAGAAACCCUAAACCUAAUGCUAUGCAACAGCCGCCACUCUCUUUUCCUCCAUGCCGGCCGUCACCCUUCGUUCUUGGCGUGUCCGACCACUGAGUCGCCGCUAUGCUAUCCCAUUAAAGUCGGAAUCCUCCCUUAGAUGACAUGGCAGCGAGGGUUCAACAGGAGGUCAUCUGUGGCGUCGCUAUUAUCCUUCCCGAUGGAGGCCGCCACCCUCUCGCGUCUUCUCCUGUUCCGCCGCCAUUCUCCGUCGCCACCACUGUGAGGUGGUGGUUGUUAUCGCAAAAAUCGCCGCUGCCGCCGCCUCUUCGGGGAUUCUGCCGCUGUCAAACGCCACAGGUUUGAUGUGUCUACCUCUCCUGCCGUUCGCUGCCGCUUUUGGCUAUUCUGGUGUCCUUCCGACUGCUGUGCUGCUACUGUUGGGUUCGUCCUUGCCGUCGCCGCUGCCAUCGUAAAAUCCUUUGCUGCCGCCACCGUACACCACCAAGAGGGUGGCUGAUUCCAAGUUGCAGGCAACAAAAUGUGCGUGUGUGCAUUUCUGUUAAGUGCAUGUUGUGUGUGAUUUGUUUGAGCGGGAAUUGCAAGAACCACCACUACCACCACCUCACGAUCGGAAAUCUGUCAUCCAGCAGCUGGGGUUGAGUCUGCGGGACUUCAGCAGUGUAGAUGUUAGUUGUAAAAGUCGAAUAGUGUGUCUUGUAAUGAUUCGCAUUUUGUAUGUUAUUUUACUAAGUCAAUUUUAAAUGCGAAGUGUAGCAUGCGAAUGUCAAUGUAUAGACUUAGUAUAUUUUUUGUAUGCUCCCUAUAAAUAGGGACUUAGGCUUGAAGUAGACAGAUGAUAUCGAAACACAAUAUUUCUCUUCAGCUUACUUUGUAAUCAGUCUUAAUAAAACGAGAUCUGAUUAAUAUUUACUUCGUGUGUUCAUCAUC